rnacentral:rRNA from 1 species
GAUUCCCUAGUACUGCGAGUGAAGCGGGAAAAGCUCAAAUUUAAAAUCCUUCGGGAAUUGUAAUCUAGAGAAGUGUUUUCGGUCGUUGCCUCGGACAAGUCCCUUGGAACAGGGCGUCAUAGAGGGUGAGAAUCCCGUCCUUGCCGAGCUACCAACGUCUAUGUGAUGCACUCUCGAAGAGUCGAGUUGUUUGGGAAUGCAGCUCAAAAUGGGUGGUAAACUCCAUCUAAAGCUAAAUAUUGGCGAGAGACCGAUAGCGAACAAGUACCGUGAGGGAAAGAUGAAAAGCACUUUGGACAGAGAGUUAAACAGUACGUGAAAUUGUUGAAAGGGAAGCGCUUGAAGUCAGUCGCGUUGCAAGGACUCAGCCGCAAGGUGCAUUUCUUUGCAACGGGUCAACAUCAGUUUUGGGCGUGGGAAAAGGGCUUGAGGAAUGUGGCAGCCUCGGCUGUGUUAUAGCCUCUUGUCGUACACCAUGCUUGGGACUGAGGACCGCUAACAGGAUGUUGACGUAAUGGCUUUAAGCGACCCGUCUUGAAACACGGACCA